rnacentral:rRNA from 1 species
GACGAACGCUGGCGGCGUGCUUAACACAUGCAAGUCGAACGGAAAGGCCCUGCUUUUGUGGGGUGCUCGAGUGGCGAACGGGUGAGUAACACGUGAGUAACCUGCCCUUGACUUUGGGAUAACUUCAGGAAACUGGGGCUAAUACCGGAUAGGAGCUCCUGCUGCAUGGUGGGGGUUGGAAAGUUUCGGCGGUUGGGGAUGGACUCGCGGCUUAUCAGCUUGUUGGUGGGGUAGUGGCUUACCAAGGCUUUGACGGGUAGCCGGCCUGAGAGGGUGACCGGCCACAUUGGGACUGAGAUACGGCCCAGACUCCUACGGGAGGCAGCAGUGGGGAAUAUUGCACAAUGGGCGGAAGCCUGAUGCAGCAACGCCGCGUGCGGGAUGACGGCCUUCGGGUUGUAAACCGCUUUCGCCUGUGACGAAGCGUGAGUGACGGUAAUGGGUAAAGAAGCACCGGCUAACUACGUGCCAGCAGCCGCGGUGAUACGUAGGGUGCGAGCGUUGUCCGGAUUUAUUGGGCGUAAAGGGCUCGUAGGUGGUUGAUCGCGUCGGAAGUGUAAUCUUGGGGCUUAACCCUGAGCGUGCUUUCGAUACGGGUUGACUUGAGGAAGGUAGGGGAGAAUGGAAUUCCUGGUGGAGCGGUGGAAUGCGCAGAUAUCAGGAGGAACACCAGUGGCGAAGGCGGUUCUCUGGGCCUUUCCUGACGCUGAGGAGCGAAAGCGUGGGGAGCGAACAGGCUUAGAUACCCUGGUAGUCCACGCUGUAAACGGUGGGUAC